CUGCUCCACUGUGAAGCCUGAAGAGGCACAGUAACAUGUUGGUGAAGUUCGCGACGACCUAUUUGUCCUUUGAUCCAUCAUUACUGCCCUCAAAAAUAAGCCCACUCUGUCAGCCUCUACAAAAUAUUCCCAUGUGUUCCUGGGUACUGCUGAGCAAGACAUCUGGAAGCAAGCAUCCUUGUUUUUCAACCAUGAUAACAAUAGAGGAAUUAGAAAAAUUAUGUUAAAUGUUUCAUUUUUCUGAUGGGGAAAAGAU
rnacentral:lncRNA from 1 species